UACAGAGGGUGCAAGCGUUGUUCGGAAUUAUUGGGCGUAAAGGGCGCGUAGGCGGUGCGGUAAGUCUGUAGUGAAAUCUCUGGGCUCAACUCAGAGUCUGCUGCAGAAACUGCCGUGCUUGAGUGUGGGAGAGGUGAGUGGAAUUCCCGGUGUAGCGGUGAAAUGCGUAGAUAUUGGGAAGAACACCGGUGGCGAAGGCGGCUAUCUGGACCGACAUUGACGCUGAGGCGCGGAAAGCGUGGGGAGCAACAGG
rnacentral:rRNA from 1 species